UCGUAACAAGGUUUCCGUAGGUGAACCUGCGGAAGGAUCAUUACUGAUUUGCUUAAUUGCACCACAUGUGUUUUUUUAUUAAUUAAAAAAUUUGCUUUGGCGGCAGGAGAUAAAAAUUCUACCGCCAGAGGUUAUAACUAAACCAAACUUUUUAUUUUACAGUCAAACUUGAUUUAUUAUUACAAAAUAGUCAAAACUUUCAACAACGGAUCUCUUGGUUCUCGCAUCGAUGAAGAACGCAGCGAAAUGCGAUACGUAAUAUGAAUUGCAGAUAUUCGUGAAUCAUCGAAUCUUUGAACGCACAUUGCGCCCUUUGGUAUUCCAAAGGGCAUGCCUGUUUGAGCGUCAUUUCUCCCUCAAACCCUUGGGUUUGGUGUUGAGCAAUACGCUAGGUUUGUUUGAAAGAUGUAACGUGGAAACUUUCUUAAGCGACUUAGGUUUAUCCAAAAACGCUUUGUUUAUAGUGGCCACCACAACUUUUUUAAACUUUUGACCUCAAAUCAGGUAGGACUACCCGCUGAACUUAAGCAUAUCAAUAA
rnacentral:misc_RNA from 1 species